CACACCCUCUCACUCAAGGGAGCUGAGCCUGUGAUAUCAUUGGGGAAACAGGGAAAUACAUCAGACAAUGAAGUGAAAGAAGACAUGUAUUAGCAUAGAGCAACUUGCUCACUCUUACUCUCCUCAGAAGGGUCUUGGUCCCUGCCCCCUGCCUGGAGGAAGGAAAACCACUAAUUGAUCUGGAUAAGCUCAGUACAAGUCUGAGGCACCAUUCAUUUGAGACAGUUACUUGGAGGUUCUGUAGUCCAUGCUGGCCUUAUAGAGUGGUGGUAUCCUAUUCGCUAAACAUCAUCCCAGAAGAGCUUUCGUUUAGGAUUCUGUUUGCAAGUAUGAACACAGUCCUGAUCUUUAAAAAGAAAGAAAAGAAACCAAAUACAAUAUGAAGUUGGAAAAAUUAAGCUGAAUAAUUUACAAUGCUAAUUAGUCAGAGGAAUACAUUUUGACAAUGUGUUUAUACGAUAUUGGGAAAUAAUUUUCCACUUUGUCUCUCUCCAGUACAGUCCUUAUGACUGCAGAACAUCUAAACAAAAUUUUCUUUGUUUGCAACCUCUAUGCUCCUAACAAUGCUCACCAUAAAUGACCUUUUUUUUUUUCUUAUUUAUUGUGAGUAAAAUGUUGAAGUACUAAAUGGCACUAAAACAGCUGUUUGAAUUUCCUCUAGCUAUCCUAUAGUUAAAUACAAUUAUUCUAAACACACAUACCCAUAUGCAGCUUUAAAUUGUGAAGAUGUAGGCAGAACCAACCUGGGGAGUAUUUUGAAUUGAGGAUUAUUAUAAUAUUUAUUUAGUGCUGAGUGCUGGUCUUUACCUACCAAUUUUUGUACCAACGUAGCUCUAAUUACAGCUGUGAAAAGGGAAAGAUUUGCAAAGAAAACAAAGGCUGUGAUUCUGUGGGACACAGUCGGCCAGCAGGUUGACAUCUGUGAAUUAUGCAAAUAAAGGAGUACAAAACUAUGACCUUAUAAGCAGGCCAUAUUCAG